GUGCCAGCAGCCGCGGUAAUACGUAGGUGGCAAGCGUUGUCCGGAAUUAUUGGGCGUAAAGCGCGCGCAGGCGGAUUGGUCAGUCUGUCUUAAAAGUUCGGGGCUUAACCCCGUGAUGGGAUGGAAACUGCCAAUCUAGAGUAUCGGAGAGGAAAGUGGAAUUCCCUAGUGUAGCGGUGAAAUGCGUAGAUAUUAGGAAGAACACCAGUGGCGAAGGCGACUUUCUGGACGAAAACUGACGCUGAGGCGCGAAAGCCAGGGGAGCGAACGGGAUUAGAUACCCCGGUAGUCC
rnacentral:rRNA from 1 species